CUCCCCUCAUUCUCUUAUGAUUUUUUUGCUUGCUGUUUCCUUUCCCUCUCUUUUCAUUCUGAGAUAGGAUGAAGCCCAAACCUCUGUGCUUUCAAGCAGCCCUGUGGACGAUUCUGAUGUGCUGCCAGGCAUGAGUACUCCUGACGAUAUGAUCUUUGAGGACAGGCAUUUGUUCUUAUUCAUCAUUGUAUCCUAAUAAGUAACAUAUGGGCAUGCAAUUAAAAAACGAAGUCACAUGGAAGAUAAAUAACAUGCUCAACAUCACCCAGCCAGAAGUGGUGGAGACAUGGCCAACAUCACAGGGGACAACUCCUGAGCCUGUGCUAGGAACAGCCAGUCUUCCUGAAUUCAUGAUAAAGCAUGAAAACAGAGGCUCACAGAGAUCAUAUUAUUUUCCCCAAGUUGCAAUGAUGGUAAACACAGAUGACAGCUGGACAUCAACUAGGUCUGGGUGGCUUCCAACUCCAGUGACUCAAUGCUGCUCCACACGGCCUUCUUACAAGGAAAAAUGAGAACAGGCCGCGGGCCGGCUUCUGUAAAUCGCGUGUUGUUGGAAUUCCUGUCCUUCCUUGACCCAGAUUUGUAAACAGAGGCUGUGGAAGCCAAGGCAAGAAUACUACAUCAGGUGGUGGUGUAUACUUCCAUCCAGAGGCAAAUGAUAUCUUCUUGUCUCUCUGUAAUACACAAAACAAUUUUCAACCAGAAAUGUAGAUGAGUGAGGAUUCUGACGUACCUAGAAUAUUUGGAUGACUGCUGCUUGAAUGGAUGGCCUUGAGACACCUGAAGACCCUGAUGUGCCUUCUGAAUCAUACCACGAUUCAAUUACAUCCAUCAUUUAACAACAACAACAACUCUAGAAGGUAAACAUAAGAAAGGAAAACUUUUGUACGGUGAACUUGGGCUAAAAAGAAGAAUGAUGUCUCUGGAACUUUUGCUGCUUAUAGGAAUGAGAGCAAAAUCCUGGCAUGACCAUGAUCCUUCAAUGAGCACCACUGUGUUGCUGCAUUCUGUCUGGCCAAUCUAGUCUAUAAUAGUUUUUUGUUUUGUUUUG
rnacentral:lncRNA from 1 species